UACGUAGGGGGCAAGCGUUGUCCGGAAUUAUUGGGCGUAAAGCGCGCGCAGGCGGCCAUGUAAGUCUGGUGUUUAAGCCCGGGGCUCAACCCCGGUACGCACUGGAAACUGUGUGGCUUGAGUGCAGAAGAGGAGAGUGGAAUUCCACGUGUAGCGGUGAAAUGCGUAGAGAUGUGGAGGAACACCAGUGGCGAAGGCGACUCUCUGGUCUGUAACUGACGCUGAGGCGCGAAAGCGUGGGGAGCAAACAGG
rnacentral:misc_RNA from 1 species